UACGUAGGUGGCGAGCGUUUGUCCGGAUUUACUGGGCGUAAAGAGCGCGCAGGCGGUCGUGCAAGUCGCGUGUGAAAGCCCCCGGCUCAACUGGGGAGGGUCACGCGAUACUGCUCGACUCGAAGGCAGGAGAGGGAAGUGGAAUUCCCGGUGUAGUGGUGAAAUGCGUAGAUAUCGGGAGGAACACCAGUGGCGAAGGCGACUACCUGGCCUGUUCUUGACGCUGAGGCGCGAAAGCUAGGGGAGCAAACGGG
rnacentral:rRNA from 1 species